rnacentral:rRNA from 1 species
GAUGAACGCUGGCGGCGUGCUUAACACAUGCAAGUCGUACGGUAAGGCCCUUUCGGGGGUACACGAGUGGCGAACGGGUGAGUAACACGUGAGUAACCUGCCCACAACUUUGGGAUAACGCUAGGAAACUGGUGCUAAUACUGGAUAUGUGCUCCUGCUGCAUGGUGGGGGUUGGAAAGCUCCGGCGGUUGUGGAUGGACUCGCGGCCUAUCAGCUUGUUGGUGGGGUAGUGGCCUACCAAGGCGGCGACGGGUAGCCGGCCUGAGAGGGUGACCGGCCAAACUGAGGCUGUGGUGAGGCCCAAACACCAGAGGGGCGCAGCAGUGGGGAAUAUUGCACAAUGGGCGCGAGCCUGAUGCAGCAACGCCGCGUGCGGGAAGACUGCCUUGGGGUUGAAAACCGCUUUCAGCAGAGACGAAGAUUUUUGUGACGGUACCUGCAGAAGAAGCACCGGCUAACUACGUG